CCAUCGCUCCAUCCCCCUGUGUCCUGUUUACUCUCUGCAGCCCUGCCGCCGUGCCACCUCGGAGACACUCCAGACCACCAAGGUCCUGGCGGCUGCCUUGGAUUGGCCAGUGAGGGCCCUCACCAUGGGAACACCGGGGAGAGGUGCUGGAGUGGGAGGGGGAGUGGCGCUAACAGUGGCUUAGUGGUGAGGAUUUUCUGUGCUGUGGGACAAGGCAGGAGAGUAAAGGUUGUGUUGGCCUCUAACUUUUACUGGACUAGAGGGAGGGGAGAGUCUGCUGAGGCAGCAUGUGGCAUGAUCAAGGUCGUGUCAUCUGUUGAACCCUCCGUUGCUUGUCUUGAACUCCAUCGUGAGAACCUUUUCACACUACAAUAGCAGUGGUAGCGCAGGCUGCCUUUUGGGUGCCCUGUCCUGUGUUUUUGUUGGCUGUUGGAGCAGGUUUUUGGGAGUCAGACAGAGAGCAGGCUAAGGGUCUUUCCCCCCAGUGCGUCCCUGCUGCGGAGAGAGACGAGCACUCGACUCAUCGAUCACUGUACACCAGGAGGGAGGACAGACGCUGUGGGUGGGACAAGAGAACGUAACCGAGACAUGUUUAAUAUGGAAAUGUAUGAAGCUACGCAUGGCGAGAAUAUGCUAUUCCGUAACAAAUGAAAGUUAAGCAAGCGUGUGUGGGGUGGGGGGUGUAAGUGUGAGUUGUUAAAGGGGGAUCCAAUAAAAUUUGACAGAGGUAUGUUUUGGGUGCGCAGAGUAGAUGUCUGCAUGGGUAAGGGGUCAAGAAGGAAUUCAUUUGUCUGAAAAGGCCUGAUGUAAUAAAACAUGCGCACAAGCCGCAUGUACACCCACGUCUGCACACAAGCCUGUGUUAACACACCAACCUCAGUCACAGAAAACACGCUCUCUGAGUCUGUUUGAACAAGAAGCUUGGCUCCAUUUAGUUCCCUCAGCAAUGACUCCUCAGCAAGAGCUAAAGCAUAAAAGAGCAAAGCACAUUCACACAUGGAGGCCUGAUGGAUUAUGGCUCUCUUGGCCACUGAGGCCUCUCAGCAGGGCUGGCAGACUGAACAGAGACCCCGUGCAGGCCUCGGGGUGAGCCAGAGGGACGAGUAAAUACAAAGCUGAAGGAAUGAGCCCCAUUGUGGGACCGCCUGACCAGCAGUAGGGCCCAACCUGGAGAUGAUAUGGAGCCAAGCAUAUAACCUAACAGCAGGGAAGCUCCAAGAUCAUUAAAGGCUUCGCCGUGGCCAUUUGAUCAGUGUUGAAACCACCGAUUGUAAACACUGGACACAGCAAGCUGCUGUGUUUCCCCGUCGUCUGUAAAUCAAUCUGCGUGUGGGUGGAUGAAGGCUAUUUUCAUUCCAAAAGUCAUGUUGUACUGUUACUGAAAAAAAAGAAAAAAAUGUUCUGCACAGUAUUUGAAGCAUGUAUGGGUCAAUCACAUAAAUCACCUCUUUAUAUCAAGCCUCUCAGUAAUGACCAUUUAGCAUAUUUGACAAUACAGAACAUCAUUAAAUGCACUUAAUCUAUCGUAAAGGCAAUGCCAGGAAUAUAGGAUUAAACCUGCAUUAAUCUCACUUUGGCUAGGGCCAGUGGAAACAAGUUUUGAAUAUUACAUUAAUAUACAGUAUUAUCAGCUUUUAUGCAGAGCAAACUGCUUUGCUAAGCUUUCCUCCAACUUAGAAAAAUAUCCAACUCAGGGGAGAAUUAUUUGUAGGUAUUUGAUAUGAGCGACACCUGUCACAUUGUCACAUUGCCCAUUAUUUUAAAAUUGUGCAUUGCUGCAAGACUGUACUAUUUUCUUGAUGGUGGCACAUGUCAGCGCCAGUGUCAGGUAUUACGCGGUGUAAAAGUAGCACAAGAACAAAAGAGACACGAGACAUGUAAACCUUUAGUUUAUUAAUAUUAGCUAACAGCAUUAGCCAUCCUGAGGUCCAAGCUGAACCAGAAAAGCUAAUGGUGUAGUGGUGAACCCACACAGCAUAGUCGUUUAUUGCUUAUGGAUUCAAUUUGUUUUCAUUAGAAGACAUUUGACAUCGUUGCAGCACUUAAAUUGAACAACAACAUCAAACAGUGGAGUGAGGAUCCUUCAAAAACUCAGUCAUUGUAAAAGAUAUCGAGGUUAAAGAUCUCUGCCAUGGGGGUGAAUCCAUAAAGGGAUAAGUGGACAUUGUGUUCUUACUGGUGGCAAACCUCAGCGGUGUUAAAAACAGAUCACUCAGCCAGCAUGUUCCCACCACUGGACGUGACGACACGUGUUCUGCCAUUAACUGAACAUUAAGGUGGUUUCUUCCCCCCUUCGCAAAUCAGAACCACCUGCCCCCAGGACUGAGGAGUGGCUGGUCCUCUGUUUGGACCUCCUUGGAGAGAGGGAGAGAGAGAGACUCUUAUUUAGACAAACGUCAGGGCUCUAGGGUUUAUACAUGGAACACAGAGUUGAGCAUGUAGCGAAUCUUACCCUUCACACAGCCUCCUAUAACCCUGGACCUUGUCUCCUCCCUUCUGAGCAGAGCCCAAUAUUUUUUAAUUAUGAGGAGGAAACUCUUGUUACAAAGGACACUGUCUUUGUCGAUCUGCAGGGAGGCUGCGAGGAGUUCUGGGGUCACCCUUCCCCUUUUAUUCUCUCUGUGUCCUGUGUGUGGGCCGUAGAUGUAUCGGCUAACAUGCCACCCAGAGAUUCGGGUCACAGGUGACAGACUACCUUCCCACACCCUAAAUGGCACCUGGAUCCUGAACGUGACCCCCUUUUUUACACACCACGGCGCCCUCGAGCACCCCUAUCCUUCAGCUCCUGUCCCGACCAAACAUACCAACUUUAGCAGCAAUGUCUGUCUUUUACUUCCUUGUUCACAGGGACGUAUUGUAACACUUGUCAAUAUUAAUCAAAAUUUUAUACAACAAGAUUUCGACGUGUCAGAGAGCUUUUUUUUCCACGCACAGCGUCUUUGCUCCAGUGGUCUCUAACUGACAGGAAUUCAGGCAAUAUUUGUUAUCUUUAGGCCCAACAAGUCCAUCUGGUUUUGGUUUGGCUCCUCAAGAUCGCCCCUGGAGAUGUGGAUGGAGGGGACAGGGUGAGGUGGUGGAGGGGCAGUUCUCGGAGGAUUUUUUUUCCCCUCCUCUUAAAUUGAAUUUCUCACCAUUGAAACCCGGGCCUCAGACCAGGGAUAGAGCGAGGGCUUGUGUUCAGCUUCCAACCCUCAGGCUUCUCAAAUACUAUACCAAAAAAGUAAGUCAGAGAGAUUGGGAAGAAAUCAGUAUCACCUGUUUUGCCAUAAUGAUUCGCAUGUUCGUAGUAAUGGCUAUUAGCUGACUCAUUUUCUCUCAACCUGUGUUUGUAAUGGAAGAAUGCAUGAACUCUCCCUGAACCGUUCCUGACAUGAAACCUUUUGUGUCUGAUGAAAUGGUGUGUAAAAAUAAACAAAUAGUAGACUAAA